GUACACGCUGUGACUAGCAUAUCAAUAAGCGGAGGAAAAGAAACUAACAAGGAUUCCCCUAGUAACGGCGAGUGAAGCGGGAAGAGCUCAAAUUUGAAAUCUUAAAGGGUUUCCCUUUACGAAUUGUAGUUUAAAGAAGUGUUUUCUGUUGAGGUUUUGGUAAAAGUUCUUUGGAAUAGGACAUCAUAGAGGGUGAGAAUCCCGUAUUUGACCUUUACUUUCAACUUUGUGAUACACUUUCAAAGAGUCGGAUUGUUUGGGAAUGCAGUCCAAAAUGGGUGGUAAAUUUCAUCUAAAGCUAAAUAUUGGCGAGAGACCGAUAGCGAACAAGUACCGUGAGGGAAAGAUGAAAAGAACUUUGAAAAGAGAGUUAAACAGUACGUGAAAUUGUCAAAAGGGAAGCGUUUGACACCAGUGUUGUUUUUCUGAAAAUCAAUUAAAGAACUGUUUAUGCUAAGUUGUUUAGACUUUAUCAACUAUCUGUUUAGUUUUGAGCUUUUCUUUAAUGCACUUUUCAGUUAACAAGUCAACAUCAAUUUCUUUUGCUGUAAAAAAGCUUGAGGAAGGUGGCUUGAGAUUCGUCUUAAGUGUUUAUAGCCUCUUGCCUAUGCAGUCGGAGAGAUUGAGGUCUGCAGCGUAGGAUCCUUCGGGGCUAAAUGCAUUUGUGCUAAGUUAUAGCAUUUUAUAGACAACUUGUUGACUAUGAUUUUGUCUUGUAGCUUACUCGCUUAUGUUAUUUUACCUACGCUUAGGAUGUUGAAGAUGUAGCACAUCAU
rnacentral:rRNA from 1 species